rnacentral:rRNA from 1 species
UAGGGAAUCUUCCGCAAUGGGCGAAAGCCUGACGGAGCAACGCCGCGUGAGUGAUGAAGGUCUUCGGAUCGUAAAACUCUGUUAUUAGGGAAGAACAAAUGUGUAAGUAACUAUGCACGUAUUGACGGUACCUAAUCAGAAAGCCACGGCUAACUACGUGCCAGCAGCCGCGGUAAUACGUAGGUGGCAAGCGUUAUCCGGAAUUAUUGGGCGUAAAGCGCGCGUAGGCGGUUUUUUAAGUCUGAUGUGAAAGCCCACGGCUCAACCGUGGAGGGUCAUUGGAAACUGGAAAACUUGAGUGCAGAAGAGGAAAGUGGAAUUCCAUGUGUAGCGGUGAAAUGCGCAGAGUUAUGGAGGAACACCAGUGGCGAAGGCGACUUUCUGGUCUGUAACUGACGCUGAUGUGCGAAAGCGUGGGGAUCAAACAGG